rnacentral:rRNA from 1 species
GAGUUUGAUCCUGGCUCAGAACGAACGUUGGCGGCGUGGAUUAGGCAUGCAAGUCGAACGAAUCCCGCGGUAGCAAUACUGCGGGGGAAGUGGCGAAAGGGGCAGUAAGGCGUAGGUAACCUACCCCGGUGACGGGCAUAGCCCUCCUAACGGAGGGGUAAUUCCCGGCGACACAGCGAGAGGGCAUCCUUUUGCUGUCAAACGAGUUUCGCUCCGGGCGGGGCUUACGUGGUAUUAGCUAGUUGGUGGGGUGACGGCCCACCAAGGCCGAGAUGCCUAGCGGGUGUGAGAGCAUGACCCGCGCCACUGGCACUGCGACACUGGCCAGACUCCUACGGGAGGCUGCAGUCGAGGAUCUUCGGCAAUGGGCGCAAGCCUGACCGAGCGACGCCGCGUGUGCGAUGAACGCCUUCGGGUUGUAAAGCACUGUCGAGGGGGACCAGGCCCGCAAGGGCUUGAGGGAUCCCUGGAGGAAGCACGGGCUAAGUUCGUGCCAGCAGCCGCGGUAAGACGAACCGUGCGAACGUUGUUCGGAAUCACUGGGCUUAAAGGGCGCGUAGGCGGCCCGCCAAGUCGGGGGUGAAAUCCUCCCGCCCAACGGGAGAAGUGCCUUGGAUACUGGCGGGCUCGAGCGGGGUAGGGGCAUGUGGAACUUCCGGUGGAGCGGUGAAAUGCGUAGAUAUCGGAAGGAACGCCGGUGGCGAAAGCGACGUGCUGGACCCCCCCUGACGCUGAGGCGCGAAAGCCAGGGGAGCGAACGGGAUUAGAUACCCCGGUAGUCCUGGCCCUAAACGAUGGGCACUAGGUUGCGGACUUACAUGGGUUCGCAGCCGGAGCGAAAGUGCUAAGUGCCCCGCCUGGGGAGUAUGGUCGCAAGGCUGAAACUCAAAGGAAUUGACGG